rnacentral:sRNA from 1 species
UAUCCGUUCAUCUGUCAGUCAGUUUGUUUCGAAAUCGAAAACCCCGAGCACACUUCCCAAAUUCCCACUGCGAAGGGGGUUUGCUCCGUCGAUGUGGAAAUGGAUGACGAUGUGGAUGAGGAUGAGGAUGAGGAUGAGGAUGUGGAUGAGGAUGAGGAUUUUUGACAGGGCAGACGAUGUCGACGAGUGCCAUCAAUCGUUUAGACCACGACGCCGGGCGUCGGCGAUAGCGAUUGCGACAAAUCUGAUAUGAGAUUGGGAUGCGGAUGCGAAUGAGGAUGAGGAUGCGAAUGAGGAUGAGGAUGAGGAUGCGGAUUCAGAUUCAGAUGCGUCCCCGGUCGAGGAUUAUGUGCGUGUAAAGCGCACACCCACAAAAAUGCCACCCCUUCCGCCAGCCAACAGCCAUCAGCCACGAAGUACGAAGUACCAAAAAGACACUUAAAACAGCCGGAAAAAGUUAACAAGGUAUGCAAAAGUAACCAAGGUGCUUGUUCGUAAACGGGAAAUUAUUCCUAGUGGUUAAGGAACAAUCAAAAAAUCGAUUAUAACAGCAGUAACUAGAUUACUUCCACUUGAGGCCCACUUUCAAUCAACCAAAACCAGAAUCAUCUCAGCCAGCAGGAAAAUCUAUUUUCCAGUGCACCUUGACGGAUGUGAAUGGGCCAAGUUUUUUGGCAAGUUUUGGCAACACUUUGAGCCCAUUUGGGUGGCAUUCGUCAAGCUGGAUGCGAUUGUCAUUGCGGUCAGUAGAAGUUGGGGGCAUUUGGGCGCCGGAAUGGAAAAGAGAUUGCCAACUGGCGGAAGCAGUUUGACCAGAGGAUAAUACGCUGCUCGGUCGGAGGGCGAAAAGAGAUCCUCGGCCGAAGGACUAAUCGAAUUAAUUGCUUAGAGCCAGUGAGGCUUAUAACCACCUAAUCAGAUGAGAACCGCAGAUGAGAAUUUAUUCCUGGCCGCAUCGCAAUCUGGUUAUAAUCUCGCGCUGAUUACAAUGCUUGCCGGGUAAGUGAAGUGCGAGAUUGGAUUCCGCCUGGCACCCACUUCACUCUUCACAGGAAGAGCCACCGCCACCCUGCAAGAAAAAAAAUAAAACAAAAAAAGAGAAAAGUUCAAUCAACUGAAAUUUUCUUCAAACUCAAGCCAAUAAUUCACCUGCUUAACUGGCCGCCUCGUGUCCGUUUUGGCCACUGUUUAAUAUUAUAAGUAAUUCACCUUUUUAGACCCGCCCCCGCCCCCUUCCCUCUCCCCCGUGGCAGGUGAAGCCUCCCCGCCCCUGGAAAAAGGGGAUUGGGAAGCGAUUUCGCCGCCUGUUUUGUGAUGUGGAAACGAUGCGCAUAAAAUCAGCGGCGCGUAUGGCAGGAGGAAGCAGGGGCGGCGGUACUGAAAGGGGGGUCUUAAGAGAGGAGAGCGGGGGGGAGGGGAUUUUGGGGAAGGAGCAGGAGCAGGAGGUUGUCGACACCAAAGCAGCCUGGCCGGCAGUCCGGAAGUGUCGUUGUCCGUUUGCCGGUCCUUUGUAUCAAUCAAAACAACGCGAACGGAGGCCCAGCGAAGUGAACGGCCAGCGGGACGGACAAACGGACAAACGGACGGACAGGCG